rnacentral:rRNA from 1 species
GAUGAAUACAUAGUCAAACGAAGCGAACCGGGGGAACUGAAACAUCUCAGUACCCCGAGGAAAAGAAAUCAACCGAGAUUCCCCUAGUAGCGGCGAGCGAACGGGGAGCAGCCCAGAGUCUUAAUCAACAUUAGCAUCAGGAGAACGGUCUGGAAAGGCCGGCAGUAAAGGGUGAUAGCCCCGUAUCCGAAGGUGUUAGUGUUGUGAACUCGACGAGUAGGGCGGGACACGUGUUAUCCUGUCUGAAUAUGGGGGGACCAUCCUCCAAGGCUAAAUACUCCUGAUUGACCGAUAGUGAACCAGUACCGUGAGGGAAAGGCGAAAAGAACCCCGGCGAGGGGAGUGAAAUAGAACCUGAAACCGUGUACGUACAAGCAGUGGGAGCCCCACCACCAAAGCAUUUUCUGGUGUUGAGGACAACUUUGAAGUGACAUUCAACACGCGUUGGCGGAGCGUUUUUUGCGACGCCCAACACACAAAACAAGCAGUGAAUGUGCUUUGGGGUGGGGUGACUGCGUACCUUUUGUAUAAUGGGUCAGCGACUUAUAUUCUGUAGCAAGGUUAACCGUAUAGGGGAGCCGUAGGGAAACCGAGUCUUAACUGGGCGAAUGAGUUGCAGGGUAUAGACCCGAAACCCGGUGAUCUAGCCAUGGGCAGGUUGAAGGUUGGGUAACACUAACUGGAGGACCGAACCGACUAAUGUUGAAAAAUUAGCGGAUGACUUGUGGCUGGGGGUGA